ensembl:lncRNA
CGCCCCAGGAACCAGUCAUUAGAAGGAGCAGACAUAACUUCUCCUCCCAGCAGGAAGCCUGUUGAUAAAGAAGAGGAGCCCCUGGAACAGCAUGGCUGACCCUUGUCCCCAGACCUUUUCCUCACGUGAACUGGCAGGUGAAGUCUGCUCAGCUACCUCACGUGCUCCAGGCUUACAAACCAAGGUCCACUUUUAGAGCUGCCGGUGGGGAUGACAUCUGUUUGGCACUGGGCUGUGGGCCGGGCUCCCGGGUGAAACCGGCUCCCAGUGCCUGUCUUUCAGAGCCCGUGUCUGCAGGAUGCUGUUUUUCCAGGACAGCCUCUACCUUCAGAAUCACCUGAGCCUCACAAAUGCACCAGGAAUUCACCUUGCAGCCUGGCACAUUCUGAGUCCCUGUGUAGGGCGGCCGCUCCCAGAUUCUUCGAGAGAGCCUCAGCAGACCCGCCUUCCACCGCACGCCUCCCCCAGCCCCUCAGGUGUUUCUGCCUCGGGAUUUGGAGCUGUGGUGCCACCAGGCAGGGAUGUGUCUGCAUUUGUGUGUGACAUCAUUGAUCCUGGAUGGGAGUACCUGAUCCUCUGCCAGUGUGGAGGCAGCUGCCUGAGACCUGUGACCACCCACUGAUGGAGGGGAAAACAUGUGGGUCUAUUCCUACAAACUCACCCUUACCAGGCAAGAGAAGAAGGACUCAAAGCUUGUUAACUGCAGCUUGAUUGGAUGAGAGCGGGGAAUCCCCCUUCCAGUGGGUGGUUCUCCAAAAUGAUGGCCCACCCGACCACCAGAAAUAACGUGGGCACUGCUGAGACCUCAAGGACCAACAUGAUGAGAAUGGCCAAAGCUCCAUCCAUGUGUUUUUUAUCUUGAAGCCAGUCAUGUUAUUACCCUGUGCGACUUCUAAUAGUUUGGAGCCAAGGCCCUCACAAGUCAGGUGAACGCGCAUGUGAGGGAGGGUGAGGGUGAUUUGAUGAAGCUGGCAACACCUGCAGAAAACUUCGGUAAAGUCUGUGUGGACACUAUCUGAUGCACGCUGUGUUGGGGUGGAGGUUCUGUGCACAUCACAGAUGGAGAGAAAACCUUACAGACCUGGAGGCAAUGUGGUUGGAUGGUUGGAGAAGGCAGUUGCAUCUGUCCCGUAUCUGCUGAGUAUUAGGCAGCAGUAUGCUUUCUGGGAAUCAAGGAGAAGGGACCCAGGGCUUACCAGCGACUCCCCUCCAGGUCUUGGCAUUAGGAGAAUGCAGUUAACCUUUUUUUGUAGCAUUCUUCCUCACGUACGAUGAUUCCAUUUUCUUAACCCAUUGCCUUCCCCAGUAUAUUUCCCAGCUAGAAGCCCCUUGAAGACACAGAUGGUGCAUCAUUGGACACCCAGGGCUUAAUGCACAGCACCGGGCACAUUAUCCCCAGUCCCAAGGGUUUAUGGAAUGACUUACACCCUAACCUGGAAAUUGAGGAGGCUUUGGCAGGUUACAGGCUUCAUCAACAGGGAAUGUUGUCCAAUUGCUUCCAGGAGACAUACGGGAGACAAGGAGGGAGGUCGGCAUGAUCUAAAAUCAUGCUCGUGUCUAAAAAUCUGACAUAACUAAUUAAUUUACAAACGCCAAAGUCACCACAAGUGGUGAGUGGACUGAAAUGAUUACAGGAGGAGAAGAAAAGCACAGACAGAUCUUUCCGAUUACUGAAGGAAACCGCAAGUGGGGAGUGAAGGGUUGCAUUAAAUUUUGGGGGGAAUGUAAAUUGUCGGCACUUUCUCCAAGGGCUUCAGGUCCCGGGCGGUGGGUUGGCAUGUGAGACGCUGGGGUACGUGAGGGGCACCAUGAGUCUUAGAGAGGGUGGUGCCAAGGCUUAUCAGGGCACCAUGGCCUCUGGGGUCAGACCUGGUUUUGAAUCUGAGCUCAGUUCCUAGACUUUCUGUGAGUUGGGACACGUCGCUUGUCAGUCCCCAGUUUCACAUCUCUAAAAUAGGGACAAUCACAUGUACCUCAGAGGGUUGCAGUAAGGACCAAAUAGGUCACAAGUGAAAGCGUCCAGUAGUUUCUGGCAGUUACGACACGUUCAGUCAGUGUAAGUUUACUAUUAUUAUCUCUCUUACUGGCUUGUGCAAUGUACUCCAUCACAUCUCUGUUUCUUCGUCUGUGAAAAACAGAAUACAUCAGUUGUUGGGCACAUAGUUGAUGAUCAGUAUAGGUUUUAUUUAUAACUUUUUCUGACUUUUUGUUUGGAAACAAUUUUAGACUUAAAGUUGCAAAAAUAGUAGAGGGUUCUCCUUCACUCUACAGCAGGCUUCCCCUAAUGUUAACAUUGUAAUCAUAGUGCAUUGAUGAAUCCAGGAAAUUUACACCGGCAAGAGGCAAUGCCAUUCAUUAAAGUGCAGACCUCUUUGAAUUCCCCCAAAUGCUCUUUCCUGUCCCAGUUUCCAUACCAGGAUCCCAUGUUCCCUUUAGUCCAAUUUUUGACAGCUUUUUGUCUUUCACGACCUUGACACUUUUGACGAGGACUGGCCAAUUACUUGGAAGAGAUAUUUCUCAAUUUGGGUUUGCCUGAUGUUUUCUGGUGAUUAGAUCAAGGUUAUGUACUUUUGGCAGGAAUACCAGUCAUGAUGUUGUGUUACUUUUGUUUUUCUUUUAUCUUCAUCACGGUAAAAUACACAUAACGUACAACUUACCACUUUAAACUAUUUUAAAGUGUACAAUUCAGUGGCAUUUAGUACAUUCACAGUGUUGUGCACCCACCAUGUCCAUCUAGUUCCAUCACCCCCAAAAGCAACGCCUUCCCAACAGCUGCAGUCCCCAUUCCCAGUGCCCCCAGCCCCUGACAAUCACCUGUCUGCUUUCUGUCUAUGGAUUUGCCUAUUCUGGACAUUUCAUGGAAAUGAAAUCAUACAAUAUGUGAUCUUUCCUGGCUGGCUCUUUUUCACUUAGUAUCAUGUUUUCAAGUUUCAUCCCCG